GCAGGGAUAGCUCAGUUGGUAAAGCAUGAGACUCCUAAUCUCAGUGUUGUGAGUUCGAGCCCCUCGUUGGGCA